UUUGAAAUGUGUAAUGCUUAAACUUUUAUGUAUGAAUUUUUCCCAUAAUUUAUGUUCUUGAAAGUGACCCAAAUGUACAAAUUUCACUAGAAUAUAGAUCUUUUUGAGUGCUGAAAUUCAACAAACUUGAAGCAUGAUAAUAAAUAAUAUAAAAAUACAUUUUGAAACUGUGAUGAUCUCCCCAAGCAGGACAAAAAUGAAGAUAAAAGUCUAGUCCGCGCCUCUCAUUGAGACCAUCCUAUGCUGAGCUUGGGACUGGACAUCAAACCGGAAAAUAAAAUGAAAUUAGUCGAGAAUCAGAUCCAACUGCUAUAUAGAUAGAGAUUCAAGUAACCAGAAGAGAAUUAAACUAACUUCGUUCAUACACGGAGAUGAAGGCGAUAAGUUGAUAAACAGCAAUUGCACAGCAUCAAUUAGAUUCUCAGAAUCAAAAAGUAUGUUCAAGGAGAUCAUUUCGCAAUUAUGGAGAAUAAUAAACCAGAAUCAAAGUGCUGAAGCAAAGCUCCUACUCUAACUCACAAAUUAUAGAAAGAUUAAUCAAUUAGAAAUGCUAGCAAAUCACUCUAUGAGAAACUUCAGAUAACUUAUUUGAUUAGCCGCCCUACUGUAAGUUAUACAAAGAAAAGUACGCUGGAAAUUGACAGUCAUGACAUUCUGAAACUCAGUUAAUCGAAUUGACUUGUGCCAGAAUUCAUAAAUUCAUAGUGAAGUUUGUUAAAUCCUCUUGAACUUCAUCGUGGUGAACCUCCUUAUAUUAACUUAUUCUGGAAAUCAACACUAAACAGCUUUCCCUUCUGAAGGACAUAUCAAGUCACUCGUCAGAAUGACGAUACUGAUCCUCUCGAACCACAUUCUAGUCACACAACUGUUAACAUCCUUUUGAAGGAGUUGACAAAGCUUAUUUAGUGGCAUGAUAUUUAGGAUAGUUAACAAAGCCUAAAGCGUAGUCUUUUGUAUAUCCAUUUCCCUAUCUAGAUACAAUUAGACAAUGUCGCCAUCAUCUCUCUCUUCCAAGAAGAUACGACAACAAACCAGCUAUUUAUUAUAAAAUCAGGCAGAGUUUAAUCAUUGUUUUUGAAGAAGAAUGGUCAGUAGUAGGACUCGAGAUCUAUGACCCUAAUCAAGGAAAACCAUAUUUUUUUCAACAAUGAGACCAGUUAAAUGUCAUUUGGAUCUAAUUUUUCCUUGAUAGACAUUGUAACGCCCCGAACUCUUUUUCAUUAUUAUUGUUAUUUUUAAAUAAAAUUGAGUGCUACCAAAACUUU
rnacentral:lncRNA from 1 species